rnacentral:rRNA from 1 species
CAGCGGAGGGAUCAUUACCGAGUUUACAACUCCCAAACCCCUGUGAACAUACCUUAAUGUUGCCUCGGCGGAUCAGCCCGCGCCCCGUAAAACGGGACGGCCCGCCAGAGGACCCAAACUCUAAUGUUUCUUAUUGUAACUUCUGAGUAAAACAAACAAAUAAAUCAAAACUUUCAACAACGGAUCUCUUGGUUCUGGCAUCGAUGAAGAACGCAGCAAAAUGCGAUAAGUAAUGUGAAUUGCAGAAUUCAGUGAAUCAUCGAAUCUUUGAACGCACAUUGCGCCCGCUGGUAUUCCGGCGGGCAUGCCUGUUCGAGCGUCAUUUCAACCCUCAAGCCCCCGGGUUUGGUGUUGGGGAUCGGCUCUGCCCUUCUGGGCGGUGCCGCCCCCGAAAUACAUUGGCGGUCUCGCUGCAGCCUCCAUUGCGUAGUAGCUAACACCUCGCAACUGGAACGCGGCGCGGCCAUGCCGUAAAACCCCAACUUCUGAAUGUUGACCUCGGAUCAGGUAGGAAUACCCGCUGAACUUAAGCAUAUCAAUAGCCGGAGGAA